UCUCUCUCUCUCUCCCCAGUCUGCGCAAAGAGAAAGACAGAAAGAGAAGUCCCCUUCCCCAUUGGCUAGCAUGGCCAUGGAAUGCAUUUCCCAAUCCCCAUUGGCUGGCAUGGCCCAAUCCCCUCCCAAGAACCAAACCCCCCCACUCAAACACAGACACCAUGGUUUCCAGAUCCGGCCGUCCGGCUAGCUCCUCCCUUGAGCUGUGUGGGAGAAGAAGCGUUCAGCAGCCAUUGCCGACCAGGAGGGAGGAGAAUCCGGCGGAAACUGGAAGGACUUGACGAUGUCGUGUUACUGCCUUAUAUUGGAUGUGAACUAGUUAAUUAAUUAGCAUGUUAUUAUUUACUUGGUUUCUUCUCAGACAUUAUGGCUAGCUUGUCAACUUUUGUGCUGAUGUGUGUGAAGGUACUAGUGAUGAGCGCAUGCAUGCAUGGAUAGGGUUGAUGGUGUGUUUGAAUGCUGUUUGACAUGAAACCGAAAUCCAUAGUAGUAGUAGUAGUGCAUGUACGUGGAUGACAAACUGAUCUGCCAGCAACAUGGACACUUUAAGAUAGUGUUGUGUUGAGUUGUUGUCGCCUGUCCUUGGUACUAGCCCCUGUCGGCUGCUCGUACUUGCCAAUCAGUUACAUGAUGCAAAUAAUAGUUUUUUGUUUUUGUUUUUUCUUAACAGUUCAAUAAGUAUACUAUAUAAUAGUGUGUGCAAUGAUCCAUCCUAUACUGUGCGAAUUGUACUGCUAGUGUUGGUCUUAUAGCCCCUGCUUGGAUGCAUAUGCCUUGUCGACAUGUAUUAAUGGCCUAUCUGCUGUGGUGCUGCAAACAGAGCUGUCAAAUGGUACUGUGAUGAAUAUAUGUUUGUAGCAAACAUAUAGUAUCAUUUGAGAAGGGCACAACAUAUUUAUGUCUUUUUCGAUCAUGUAAUAAGAGAAACUUGCAUGACACUGAAUUCCUUAAUUUGUGGAAUCAGAGUAUGAUUUAUUUUGUGAUGUAAAA